GACGAACGCUGGCGGCGUGCCUAAUACAUGCAAGUUGAGCGAUGAAGAUUGGUGCUUGCACCAAUUUGAAGAGCAGCGAACGGGUGAGUAACGCGUGGGGAAUCUGCCUUUGAGCGGGGGACAACAUUUGGAAACGAAUGCUAAUACCGCAUAACAACUUUAAACAUAAGUUUUAAGUUUGAAAGAUGCAAUUGCACCACUCAAAGAUGAUCCCGCGUUGUAUUAGCUAGUUGGUGAGGUAAAGGCUCACCAAGGCGAUGAUACAUAGCCGACCUGAGAGGGUGAUCGGCCACAUUGGGACUGAGACACGGCCCAAACUCCUACGGGAGGCAGCAGUAGGGAAUCUUCGGCAAUGGACGAAAGUCUGGCCGAGCAACGCCGCGUGAGUGAAGAAGGUUUUCGGAUCGUAAAACUCGGUUGGUAGAGAAGAACGUUGGUGAGAGUGGAAAGCUCAUCAAGUGACGGUAACUACCCAGAAAGGGACGGCUAACUACGUG
rnacentral:rRNA from 1 species